UUCCGGUUGAUCCUGCCGGAGGCUACCGCUAUUGGAGUUCGAUUAAGCCAUGCGAGUCCAGAGCUUUCGGAGCUCGGCGUACCGCUCAGUAACACGUGGGUAACCUAACCUAUGCAGGGGAAUAACCUCGGGAAACUGAGAAUAAUGCCCCAUAGUCCACUACGCCUGGAACGGUGAGUGGAUCAAAGCUCAGGCGGCAUAGGAUGGGCCUGCGGCGUAUCAGGUUGUAGGGGGUGUAAAGUACCCUCUAGCCAUCUACGCGUACGGGUGUUGGGAGACAUAGCCCGGAGAUGGAUUCUGAGACACGAAUCCAGACCCUACGGGGUGCAGCAGGCGCGAAAACUUGACAAUGCGAGCAAUCGUGAUCAGGGAACUCCAAGUGGCUGGGGUAAGACCCAGUCUUUUCAUAACUCUUCAAAGGUUGUAGAAUAAGGGGUGGGUAAGGACGGUGCCAGCCGCCGCGGUAAUACCGGCGCCUCAAGUGGUAGUCGCUUUUAUUGGGCCUAAAACGUCCGUAGCCGGUUUGGUACAUUCGUGGGUAAAUCAACUCGCUCAACGAGUUGAAUUCUGCGAGGACGGCCAAACUUGGGACCGGGAGAGGUGUGGGGUACUCUCAGGGUAGGGGUAAAAUCCUGUCAUCCUGAGAGGACCACCUGUUGCGAAGGCGCCACACUAGAACGGAUCCGACGGUCAGGGACGAAGCCUAGGGGCACGAACCGGAUUAGAUACCCGGGUAGUCCUAGGUGUAAACGCUGUGGACUUGAUGUUGGAGAAGCUCCGAGCUUCUUCAGUGUCGAAGCGAAGGUGAUAAGUCCACUGCCUGGGAAGUACGGUCGCAAGGCUGAAACUUAAAGGAAUUGGCGGGGGAGCACCGCAACCUGAGGAUUGUGCGGUUUAAUUGGACUCAACGCCGGAA
rnacentral:rRNA from 1 species